rnacentral:rRNA from 1 species
AUCGAUGAAGAACGCAGCGAAAUGCGAUAAGUAGUGUGAAUUGCAGAAUUCAGUGAAUCAUCGAAUCUUUGAACGCACAUUGCGCCCCUCGGUAUUCCGUGGGGCAUGCCUGUUCGAGCGUCAUUUACACCCUCAAGCUCUGCUUGGUGUUGGGCGUCUGUCCCGCUGCUUUGCGUGGACUCGCCUCAAAGUAAUUGGCAGCGGUUUUGCCAGCUUCUCGCGCAGCACAUUGCGUUUCUUGGAGCUUUGGCGGAUCGGCGUCCAUCAAGACAUUCAUGACUUGACCUCGGAUCAGGUAGGGAUACCCGCUGAACUUAAGCAUAUCAAUAAGCGGAGGAAAAGAAACCAACUGGGAUUGCCCUAGUAACGGCGAGUGAAGCGGCAACAGCUCAAAUUUGAAAUCUGGCUCCCUUUGGGUGUCCGAGUUGUAAUUUGCAGAGGGUGCUUUGGCGUUGGUGGCGGUCUAAGUUCCUUGGAACAGGACAUCGCAGAGGGUGAGAAUCCCGUAUGUGGUCGCCUGCCUUCGCCGUGUAAAGCCCCUUCGACGAGUCGAGUUGUUUGGGAAUGCAGCUCUAAAUGGGAGGUAAAUUUCUUCUAAAGCUAAAUACCGGCCAGAGACCGAUAGCGCACAAGUAGAGUGAUCGAAAGAUGAAAAGCACUUUGGAAAGAGAGUCAAACAGCACGUGAAAUUGUUGAAAGGGAAGCGCUUGCAGCCAGACUUGCCCGUAGUUGCUCACCUGGGUUUCUACCCAGGGCACUCUUCUGCGGGCAGGCCAGCAUCAGUUUGGGCGGUCGGAUAAAGGCCUCUGUCAUGUAUCUCCCUUCGGGGUGACCUUAUAGGGGAGGCGUAAUGCGACCAGCCCGGACUGAGGUCCGCGCUUCUGCUAGGAUGCUGGCGUAAUGGCUGUAAGCGGCCCGUCUUGAAACACGG